rnacentral:tRNA from 1 species
GCCGAGGUAGCAAAAUCGGUUAACGCACCUGACUUGUAAUCAGGGGACUGAGGGUUCGAAUCCUUCUCUCGGCACCA